UACGUAGGGGUCUAGCGUUGUCCGGAAUUACUGGGCGUAAAGGGCUCGUAGGUGGCCAACUAAGUCAGACGUGAAAUCCCUCGCUUAACCGGGGAACUGCGUCUGAUACUGGAUGGCUUGAGUUCGGGAGAGGGAUGCGGAAUUCCAGGUGUAGCGGUGAAAUGCGUAGAUAUCGCUUGGAACGCCGAAGGUGAAAACAGACUGCUGGGGUUGCGCCGACGCUGAGACACGAAAGCCAGGGAGGCAAACGGG
rnacentral:rRNA from 1 species